CUCACCUCAUACACAGGAGCAGAGUCAGACACAUCCAGACCAGGAAUCACCCACCCAUAUCAGCUCCUUCUCACACCCUGCAGAAUAAUGUCUCCCUACUAUAGAAUCCUGUUUCUCUUGGCUUGUCUGAUGGCUUUAGCCUAUGCUUACCAUAAUGAGAGGACUUAUCCAGACUUAAGGUCAGCUGUUGAAGAACAGCUUUUCCGGGUGAAAAGAAAUCAACAGGAAAACUAGAAUCUUUUGAAGAGAUGGAAAGCUAAAUGGAAUAUAAAGCUGGUUUUAAAAUCUAUAUAAUCAAAAUAAAGAUGUUUAAAAACUGAGAUUAUUUUAUCUGAUCACAGCUACAUAAAAUGUUCUCCACUUAAAAUGUAAUGUUAAUUUAAAUGUAUUAUCUUUUAUAUAAGAAUAUGACUGAGCUUUACAUCAAAAAUAUAAACAAGAUUAUAUCAAAAUGUAAUCCAAGUUAAUGUUAUCUACAGAAACAUAUUCUGAUGUUAAUGUUAAAAUUGUGAUAAUUUACUAUUAAAGCAGUUUAUAUCAAUUA